UUGCAAAUAAAUAAUUGUCAGGUUUUAUAAAACACUGUUCUUGAACUCAAAUCGCAAAAAUAUAAUCAAUCAACUUUCGUUGCAAAGACUAUCUAUGUCUAGAACCCUAAAUUCCAAAUCUCUUUGCAAAUUUAUAAGUUUAAGACAUGCAUUUAAUUCAGGUUUGUUAAGUUCACAAAAUCCCUAAACCAAAUCUCUUUGCGAGUAGGUUUUUUGCUCAUCUAGAUUAUUUUCAGGAAAUCAAUAACACUUUCGUGUCUACCAAGUCACCUAAGAUCAGAUUCUAGGUUGCUUUCACUACUCUAGAACAAAUUAACCACAAUCUAGAUGAAGAACUCUAUUGAUUCAAUCCUAACAAUCUAACAACCUAACAAUUCAUGAAUUCCUUUGAAAACCCUAAACCUAACAAGAGAUCUACUCAGACAUGGUGAUUAAAUCAAACAUCAUGAAUAAAAUAGAUAUCAU
rnacentral:lncRNA from 1 species